rnacentral:rRNA from 1 species
CGUAGGGUGCGAGCGUUAAUCGGAAUUACUGGGCGUAAAGCGUGCGCAGACGGUUUUGUAAGACAGAUGUGAAAUCCCCGGGCUCAACCUGGGACCUGCAUUUGUGACUGCAAGGCUAGAGUACGGUAGAGGGGGAUGGAAUUCCGCGUGUAGCAGUGAAAUGCGUAGAUAUGCGGAGGAACACCGAUGGCGAAGGCAAUCCCCUGGACCUGUACUGACGCUCAUGCACGAAAGCGUGGGGAGCAAACAGGAUUAGAUACCCUGGUAGUCCACGCCCUAAACGAUGUCAACUGGUUGUUGGGUCUUUACUGACUCAGUAACGAAGCUAACGCGUGAAGUUGACCGCCUGGGGAGUACGGCCGCAAGGUUG